UACGGAGGGUGCGAGCGUUGUCCGGAAUCAUUGGGCGUAAAGGGCGCGUAGGUGGCGGGACAAGCGUGCGGUGAAAGCCUGGGGCUCAACCCCGGGUCGGCCGUGCGAACUGUUUUGCUUGAGCACUGUAGAGGCAGGCGGAAUUCCGGGUGUAGCGGUGGAAUGCGUAGAGAUCCGGAAGAACACCGGUGGCGAAGGCGGUUAGCUGGGCAGUUGCUGACACUGAGGCGCGACAGCGUGGGGAGCAAACAGG
rnacentral:rRNA from 1 species